CAGGCCUAACACAUGCAAGUCGAGCGGAAACGAGUUAUCUGAACCUUCGGGGAACGAUAACGGCGUCGAGCGGCGGACGGGUGAGUAAUGCCUAGGAAAUUGCCCUGAUGUGGGGGAUAACCAUUGGAAACGAUGGCUAAUACCGCAUGAUGCCUACGGGCCAAAGAGGGGGACCUUCGGGCCUCUCGUGUCAGGAUAUGCCUAGGUGGGAUUAGCUAGUUGGUGAGGUAAGGGCUCACCAAGGCGACGAUCCCUAGCUGGUCUGAGAGGAUGAUCAGCCACACUGGAACUGAGACACGGUCCAGGCUCCUACGGGAGGCAGCAGUGGGGAAUAUUGCACAAUGGGCGCAAGCCUGAUGCAGCCAUGCCGCGUGUGUGAAGAAGGCCUUCGGGUUGUAAAGCACUUUCAGUCGUGAGGAAGGCGGGUAUGUUAAUAGCAUAUUCGUUUGACGUUAGCGACAGAAGAAGCACCGGCUAACUCCGUGCCAGCAGCCGCGGUAAUACGGAGGGUGCGAGCGUUAAUCGGAAUUACUGGGCGUAAAGCGCAUGCAGGUGGUUUGUUAAGUCAGAUGUGAAAGCCCGGGGCUCAACCUCGGAAUUGAUUUGAAACUGGCAGACUAGAGUACUGUAGAGGGGGGUAGAAU
rnacentral:rRNA from 1 species